rnacentral:rRNA from 1 species
CGCGGCCUAUCAGCUUGUUGGUGAGGUAAUGGCUCACCAAGGCGUCGACGGGUAGCCGGCCUGAGAGGGUGACCGGCCACACUGGGACUGAGACACGGCCCAGACUCCUACGGGAGGCAGCAGUGGGGAAUAUUGCACAAUGGGCGCAAGCCUGAUGCAGCAACGCCGCGUGAGGGAUGACGGCCUUCGGGUUGUAAACCUCUUUUAGCAGGGAAGAAGCGAGAGUGACGGUACCUGCAGAAAAAGCACCGGCUAACUACGUGCCAGCAGCCGCGGUAAUACGUAGGGUGCAAGCGAUAUCCGGAAUUAUUGGGCGUAAAGAGCUCGUAGGCGGUUUGUCGCGUCUGCUGUGAAAUCUGGGGGCUCAACCCCCAGCCUGCAGUGGGUACGGGCAGACUAGAGUGCGGUAGGGGAGAUUGGAAUUCCUGGUGUAGCGGUGGAAUGCGCAGAUAUCAGGAGGAACACCGAUGGCGAAGGCAGAUCUCUGGGCCGUAAUUGACGCUGAGGAGCGAAAGGGUGGGGAGCAAACAGGCUUAGAUACCCUGGUAGUCCACCCCGUAAACGUGGGGAACUAGUUGUGGGGUCCAUUCCACGGAUUCCGUGACGCAGCUAACGCAUUAAGUUCCCCGCCUGGGGAGUACG